GAGACGACGCUGGCGGCGUGCCUAAUACAUGCAAGUCGAGCGGACCAAAGGGAGCUUGCUCCUGGAGGUUAGCGGCGAACGGGUGAGUAACACGUGGGCAACCUGCCUGUAAGACUGGGAUAACAUCGAGAAAUCGGUGCUAAUACCGGAUAAUAAAAAGAACUGCAUGGUUCUUUUUUGAAAGAUGGUUUCGGCUAUCACUUACAGAUGGGCCCGCGGCGCAUUAGCUAGUUGGUGAGGUAACGGCUCACCAAGGCAACGAUGCGUAGCCGACCUGAGAGGGUGAUCGGCCACACUGGGACUGAGACACGGCCCAGACUCCUACGGGAGGCAGCAGUAGGGAAUCUUCCGCAAUGGACGAAAGUCUGACGGAGCAACGCCGCGUGAGUGAUGAAGGUUUUCGGAUCGUAAAACUCUGUUGUUAGGGAAGAACAAGUGCCGUUCGAAAGGGCGGCACCUUGACGGUACCUAACGAGAAAGCCACGGCUAACUACGUG
rnacentral:rRNA from 1 species